UACGGAGGGUGCAAGCGUUAUCCGGAUUCACUGGGUUUAAAGGGUGCGUAGGCGGAUAGGUAAGUCCGUGGUGAAAUCCUGCAGCUUAACUGCAGAACUGCCAUGGAUACUAUUUAUCUUGAAUGUCGUGGAGGUUAGCGGAAUAUGUCAUGUAGCGGUGAAAUGCUUAGAUAUCGUAAGGAAGACCAGUUGGCGAAAGGCGGGUCUCUGGACAGUUCCUGACGCUGAGGCACGAAGGCCAGGGGAGCAAACGGG
rnacentral:rRNA from 1 species